AUGGUAGUAUUUCUGUCUCCGUGGAUUAAGAGCGUGAGCUCUCCCACUUUAAAGACACUAACCAGCAAAUUUGUCUUUUAUCAAAUAGUUUUACUGCCAAUUAUCUGGCAUUUAAAGAAGUUUUUAUUUGGCAUGCAUCCUUUAAACCUAGUCAACAAUGCUCUGCCCCAUCCAAGUGUACAUCAUCAUUGCUGUAUAGUAAUGGUAUGGAUGCAAACAGUUGAUGCUUUGCCCUGUUGUUUAUUAUUUGAUAUGUUUUUCUUUUGUAUUUUAUGUUGUAUGUCACUGGGGUGGGGCAUCUUUUGGGCAGAAAGAUGACUUAUAAAUAUUUCUAUAUACAUAUUUUAAAGCAUAAUUCAUACACCGAUUCAAACUCUCUCGCGCAUAUACCCACUCCAUACACAUACAUUUUUGGUUUGUUUUAUGUUGAUGUUUUCCUCAGGCAGACCAGGUCAACUGUGCAUAUUUCAUUCCAGCGAUCAGAGGGCUACAAAGGGGCCCAAACACAUGGGUCAUUUAUUAUUUGACGAAAAAAACCACACGAUCUUGGCAAGAAGGGGAAAGCAAAGAUGAACAGAAGACCUGCUGGAGUACACUGUUUGGAUAAAUUACAGCCAUAAUGUAAGUCAGCUCUGUGAAAAUCAAUGGGUUCUGAAGCCUCAGUUUGGAUAAAUUACAGCCAUAAUGUAAGUUGUGCCUUCCAGCUCUGUGAAAAGCAAUGGGUUCUGAAGCCUCGCGUAGUCAACGCCUCAUCUUUUGCUCUCUCACUCUCUCUUGCUCUUAUUCUCUCUCUCUCUCUCUCAACCCACUCCUUCUGGAGCAAACACCUUACAUGAGGCAAGCGUUGGUCAUUACUCAGUUACUUUUUUGGAUAAUACCUCCUAGAAUUCACCAACCAAGAUGGCCGUUCCCCAUCCUGGCUGAGAGAUUUGGGGAGUUACCAUACAAAGAAGUAACUUGCCCAACAUCUGGGCCUGAGUGUCAAUAGAAGAGCUGCUUCAGUUCUGCUGGGCAGAGUUAAAAGAACCAAUCAACCAUUUUCUAUUAACCACCUAGGCAAUUUAAUCAUAACUAUUUAUUUGCCAUCCAGGGCCAUAAUUUUAAUUUAAGGAUUUGCUUAAGGUAUUUUGCUGGACCCAAGUCUUCCUUCUAAGGCUACAAUGUGGCAAAACACGAAUCUGUUCUUACAUUGCAAACACAGCUCUGACAUUGUGCAUCUUGAAGAGCUCCAGAGCCAAUUAGCAAACCAAGAGGCAGCACAAUUAUUAAAACAUUUAAUUCUAAUCAUCUCCUUUUUUCCAGUUUGAUAAAAAGAAGAAAAAUAAAACUCAUCGUGGUGAAGAGAAGCUUUAGAUU
rnacentral:lncRNA from 1 species